AAUUGACCGGCGUUAAUCAUGGUGAAUACACCAUGAGUGAUUCCCAAAAACAGAGUCAAGUGUGUUAGCAUUUCCUAAUUUAAGAUCAAAGAUAUAUUAUGGUAGACUGAACUACGUUAAAUGAUGCUGUUUAGGUCCACCCUAAAUAGUUGGCUUCGAUGAUCGAUGUUGUGAAAUUGCUAACAAAAGCAAAUGCGCGACGAAUGGACAGGAAAAGGAGAAGCAAAUAGAAAGAUAAGAAGCGAGCAAUGUGAUCGGGAAUAUCCCACAAUAACACUUGACUACAACGCAUUUGUACCAAUACAAAAUAAAUGGUUAAAUACAUUUUAUUAUAUUUA